CAUUGCAAACCCAUUUUAAAUGGCCAACCCAAUUCAUGCUUGAUAUGGGAAAUGAGGGCGCUGCAGUUUGAAACCAUUCCCACAUGUUAAGAAGGUUAAAAAUGUAGGGACGCAUAGCUCCCGAAUCGCCAGCCCACAGGCGCGGCAAACUGCUCCCAUGGCUACGAGGCAGGAGUGACCUUCAAUCCAGCGUUUGUGUUUGGGAAACUUAUUUGGCUGAUUUGAUUGUACCCUCGCAGCUGGUGUUCACGCGCUCAAGAGAUGGGUUUGUUAUCUUAUGUGCAUGUAUACUGCCUGGCUUUUCUAUGCGCAAGAUUUGUACCAAUGAGAAGCGUUGUAAGCAGGGAAGUGUAAAGAAUAAAAGCCCCAGGAAAAGUUCCUGGAGGUAGAGGGGCUUUUCGGCUACCACAGACCUGGCGUUCUGUUUCCUUUCCUGCGUCGUCACCACAGCUGGUGACCCCGACGUGACGACCCCGUACUCACCGGCUGGAUACGCCGAGCGCGCCCGCGGCUGUUUGCCGCCCCUUAUUCGUGAGUAUGGGGGUCGAACUUUCCAGUGCCCAGAAGGAGCACACAAGAGAGUUCAAGAUUACACGGCAGCGAUCAUGCAUCGUUGUCCCGGUCGCUCAUAUUGAGGACCCCCUAAGGGAAAUAGACCGCCAGUGCCCCUGGUAUCCGGACUGCAGGUCGGUAUGGCUUCUUGACUGGAAAACAGGUUGGAAACUUUGAGGGCAUAGAGGAAGGAAAGGAAUAAAAGAAGUGCUACCCAAAGACCCUAGCAGCCCUGCCGUUUAUUGAAACAAGGAAACGGAGUCUAUGUAAAGUCCAUCAACGAAAGACUGCUUUGGCUCCACACUGGAAAGGCCCUUUCCAAGUCCUGUUAACCACCAACACUGCUGUGAAGUGCCAAGGACUGCCCACCUGGACCCAUGCUUCUCACUGCAAAAAGACCCCUCCACCUGGAGAGGAUUCUCCAGCUGCUAAUCAGCCUAUUUCUCCUGCUAGCUCUGCUGUGCCUCCUGGACAGCAGGGAAAGAGAACAAGGUGAAGUGCUAGUAACCUCUCCCUUGUCCACUGACAGACCUACUGUUGCUUUGAAUUUUUCUAAAAGAAGCAAAACCAUUACAGGGUGAUGUGCUAGUAACCUCUCCCCUACAUGAUGCUAAACCACACUGUUUCAGGAAAAGAGAAGAAGGAACACUUGCUUAAUUGAAACCAUAAAGUCCAGGAAUUCCUGACUACAAAAGACAUUAAGAACUGGCCCUGGUGAAGAAACAAAGAAUUAUACCCUAGCAGAAAGAAACUUGUGGGACCCAUGCUUGGGAACGUGGUAUUGAUUAGAUUUUAAGGUUUAUUUUACAGGCUGUGCCCUGUGUUUUGGAUAAGUCCUUCAGCAUGUAUUGCCCUCCCUAAUUGGAUUUUAAAUGAUAAGUACCAAAGGCACCUUGUUGCCAUUGCCCCUGCCAUCUCCUCUAUUACACUAUUACCCCUGUAACACAUCCAAAUACAGACAAUGACCCAGAAGUUGCUGACAGAGAUGGUAUUGAAUAUCACUGAGGCUGGGAAGGCAUUGCAGUGGGAUCUAGCAUGUUCAGAAAUUCAGGAUUUCCUGAAUGACUAGCUAAUGGCCAUUCGGAAUGAUCUAGAGCAUCAGGCUUGGCCCACUGCCCUUACAGACACAUCAGGAGUACCAUCUGAUCUGUGGCAUGAAGACAUACUUGGAGACUUUCUGGGUGGAAGUGCAGACGUUCUCAGUGCUCCUUCCAAGCAUAUGGACCGGUUGAGGGGGUGUGGGCUCUCACAUACCGAAUCCUGCCGGGUCCAUAGGGAGGAUGCAUGUGGGAUUGGGUAAUUCACCAAGACAUCUGGGAAAUUAGACUACCUGGUAUGCCCAAUUGAUUUUAGUAAGUGCUCCGGAGAUUACAUCUGACAUUUGGAUGGGGUUAGGGAGUCAAUGGACAUUUUGGCCGUUAGAACCCCCACAGCUUCAGUGUAUAUGUAAACUGAAGCCAGGAGAAGUAGUCACUGUCUAUGACUACGUUUGCUGGAAGGGUAGUGGACAAGGAACUACCCUGACAGGACACUUACUCUUUUAAGCUAAUGAUAGCUGUGUGUAUGUUAAAGCCUCCACAUUGCAAGACAUACAUUUUAAUCUCAUUACCACUGCAGGCAAUCAUAUUAUUUACUGGCCUGCAGAUAGAGUUUUUCAAGUAGCCCUUAGGUUCCAGAUACCCUUUAAUUGGACUAGUUUAGUAUCUGAUUUCAGAAUUUGUUUUCACUGUUACCAGAGAUUCCGAAAAUCUCUGAAGUACAAGGGCAAAUUCACAUGCUUUAUAAUAUAUAUUAAGUUGAAAAGUAUGCUUUCCAGACAGCUUAUAGAGUAUCCAUUUUAUGUACUAAGUAGGAUGUAUUGUGCUUUAUGAUUAAGAUUGUACAACAGCCCCAUUAUAUUAUUGUUAUGGGAAUGUUAUUGCUUGUGUUGCUAUUAGUUAGCUUAGGAUUAUGUUAUUAUUGUUGUAAAAGACGUAAUAAUAGUAAUACCUUUCAUGUUUAUGCUAAUCAUGCAUUGUCAUUACAUCCAAUCAGAACCCCUAAGAUUGAAGCAUCUGAUGUAGAAUUUGAAGUCCAGGGCUUAAUGCAAAUAGAGAUUUAAGAAUGUUUGUUGUACUAGAAGUAAAACAAAAAAGGGGGGGGGGGUCGUGGAAGCAGAGAAAGAACUGUCAGAAAAGAACUGCUAUGCAUGACAGUUUGUUAGUAAGAGUCAGGCUAACUGUAACCCUGAUAACGCGAGAUUUGUAGAAGCGAGGAUUGUGAGAGGCGGGUGAGAAAGUACUGUGUGAGAAGUUAUUGUGACCUUGUGUAGAUAAGGUCUAGAAAAUAUUGUAUGUUGGCAAGAGUCAAAACAAGUAAGGAAUUAAGAUAUCAAGAUGGCCUAUGUAUAACAAAAUGCAGCUGUCCCUUAUUAUUUCUGUAAUGAAAAGUAUAAAUGCAAGGUCUGUUAAGUACCUGCCUUGUUCCUGUUUGCAAACCACUCAAUUUGCAAUAAUAGAGUAUUGAUUAGGUAUAGCUUUAUACCCCCUUUGUAGCAAAUUAUGCCAAUAAUACUUGUGCCAAAGUAGUUAAUUGUUUUACUUACAAACCCCGUGGGGGGUGUUUGGCAAUUGGUCAAGCCUUAUGGGAUUGGCGUUUUGCUUUGCUGUUUUGCUUAGUGUAUACCUAAUCUAGUGACAUUGUGUAUGCUACCCUGCGAAAGUGUUUUGUUUAAACACCGCAUCUAUAAAAUAAAACAGGGGGGGAUGUAGGGACGCAUAGCUCCCGAAUCGCCAGCCCACAGGCGCGGCAAACUGCUCCCAUGGCUACGAGGCAGGAGUGACCUUCAAUCCAGCGUUUGUGUUUGGGAAACUUAUUUGGCUGAUUUGAUUGUACCCUCGCAGCUGGUGUUCACGCGCUCAAGAGAUGGGUUCGUUAUCUUAUGUGCAUGUAUACUGCCUGGCUUUUCUAUGCGCAAGAUUUGUACCAAUGAGAAGCGUUGUAAGCAGGGAAGUGUAAAGAAUAAAAGCCCCAGGAAAAGUUCCUGGAGAUAGAGGGGCUUUUCGGCUACCACA